GGCCUGGUGGUCUAGUAGUAUGAUUCCUUCUUAGGGCUUUUUGGCAUUUGGAGGAGGUCCCGGGUUCAAUUCCCGGCCAGGCCC
rnacentral:tRNA from 1 species